rnacentral:lncRNA from 1 species
AGAAGUCUGCAUUUGCGUGGGUUCCUGGGCAGGGGUGGCAAAUCACAGUUUGAGUGUGUAAUCUUUUCUUCUAUGGUUCAACCAGUUUACAGAAGCUAGAUAAGCGGUUAGUCAACUCAUUUCCUGUCAUCUUGCUAGGCCAGGAUCAUGUAUUCACAGGAACCGGGCCCUGGAGCAGCAAGAAGUGUGACCUUUUACCUAUACUCUGGCAGGGAGCAGGGUCUGGAAUUUGUGUUAUUUAGGGCUUCUUAGGAGUCUGGAGUUGGGACUGUAUUUUUAAUCCUUUUACUGGUAGUCAAAUUUCUCUGGGUGUUGUGGGAGUGUGUGGGGAGCCAGAGUCCUGGGUCUGGUUUGAGCACAAGUGCAAGCUGAACAGAACUCUUACCUCUGUCUGGAAGCUGGGGGUUGUAUUUCCCUGGUUUCUGUGAGGUUUCCAGUUAUGCUUUUGGGAAAUAUGUUGUGGCCUCAACUGUGAUCUUGAGUGUGUCAGAACUCCAGUGAUCCUGGGUGUGCCAGAGCACUUGUGACCCUGUGAUCAUGUGAUCCUGGGCAUGUUAGAGCACCUGGGAGUCAGGCUUCUUAUGGGUGUUGUAGGAGUGGGUGCAGAGCCCUCUCCCUGGGUCUGUUCCAGGCACAGGUUCAAACUGGAAGGAACGGACAUUUCCAAUAUAGUCUGUAGUACUUUUAUCUAUGUUGUAAUUAAUUAGAUGAAUAUAUUUAGCAAGCCUUAUAAAAAGAUUUAAAAAUUUUACCUUCUAUAAAAAUCUGCAUUUAUUUAUGAGUACCACACAUAUCUUGUAUAGAAAUUUACUAGAACUAAUAAAAUAGUGCAUUCAGUAUAUUUAUUUAUUCAAUCUUUAUAUCAAUAAAACAUUCUGUAAAAUGAUGUAUAGCUAGUGAAUAUAUAUUGAUUUUAUUCUUGUUCAGAUCUCAAUAGCAAAGAUAUGAUCUAACUUAAAAUUAAAUAGAAAUUUUAUUUUAUGAUUUUGUUUUCUUAAACCAAUCCUCAUUAAGUCUAGUCUCUAAAAUCUUACUUAAAAGCAUGUCUUCCCAAUAUUUAUCAUGUUCAUAACAAUAACUUUUAAACAUUCUAUAAAUAACAUUUCACUUAUUUCAGAGGCAGACAGGAUUGGUAAAGCACAUGCAUGGAGAAGUAGAAGGUAGGCAUGAUUCCUAAUGUAAGAGUUAAUUUUAGGUUAAGUAAUUGAUCUCUAAAAAACCUCUUUCUUCUGGUUGGAAACUUUUACAUUAACUUCCUUCCUUCCUUCCUUCCUUCCUUCCUUCCUUCCUUCCUUCCUUCCUUCCUUCCUCCCUCUCUCUCUCCCUCCCUCCCUCCCUCCCUUCCUUCUUCCCUUCCUUUCUUUUUUUUUAACUUUUUAUUGACUUUUUUCACAUCAUGCACAUCAGUCCCAUUCAUCCCACUCAUCUCCUCAUCCCAUCAUAUCUGCCAUUUACCCUUACAAUCUCCCUGCACAAAUAAAAAGUGCAUAAACAACAACAAAAACCAAAUCAUAGAAAAUAUCUCAUAGUGGGAUCUCUAGUAUGUCACAGUGUGUCCCACAUUAUAUUUCUGUCUCCACACAUCUUCACUUGCAAAUGUUUGUUGCAAUGAGUCACUGGUCUGCUUUGAGAUCUCUGGCUUUCUGUUACAGCAUCAAUAUUGGAUCCUAAUUUGGACUACUCCUGAUUACCCUGUUGUUGCCCUGCAUCAUGGAGAUCCUAACAACUUUGCAUCAGCAAGACUGGCUCUUUCACACAUCCCAACCCUUCAUAGAUGAUACAGAUUUGGGGGUGGGCCAACUCAGAGACCCGGAUAUGGAUCUCAGUGGUAGUAGCUGGGCUGGUCAGAACAGUUUCUUUCCCUUACUGGAACCACCAGGGCAAGCUCUCCAGCAUUGCUCCAGCUAGACUACCCAAUACAGCCCUCAGCAGGAGGCAUGGUCAGCUCUCCUAUUCUCAUGUCCUUGGGGCUGGCUCACCCACUACCAUGCCUCCAGAGGCAGCUUCUACUAUGCUGCCUAAUCAAGGUGUGGGCCCUACUUUCCCAAGUGCUACACAGCCUGUAAGGGGCUGGGACAGUUCUCCUGCUUUCACACCCCAAGGCCUUGAUCACCCAUGCCUUAACUAUCAGGGCCAGCUCCACCAUGUUGCCUAGUUGAGGUGCAGAGCUAGCUCUACAGAGUGCUACAGCCAGUGAGGGGGGUGCAGGACUAGCUCUCCUGCUCCCAUGCCUCCUGGCCAGCUCUUCUGACUGCCACAGGUGGUGGUGGUGGGGGGGAAGGGCAUCAUCACUAUAUCCAUGCCAUUUAAUGGCAGGCUAGUGGCAGGGCCAGCUCUCCCUCUAUCUUGCCUUCAGAGCUGGCUCACCUGCACCUUCUGGACCAGGCCCAGCACUACUGAGCUUGGUGCUACAGACAUCAAGGGGGAGGGCCAGCUAUCCCAACUGCUGUAAGUGGCAAGAUGUAGGGAUGAGGGUGGUGGUAGUGGUACUUAACUUGUUUCUUAAGUAGAUCAAACAAAAGAUGUGAACAUCUCUAAUGAGAAACACAUUUAUUCGUUGUUUUUCUCAGAUUCUCUGUAUCUCCAGUACUUUCCUCACUUCUGUCACCCUCACCUUUGCAGGAUACUGCUAGAAAAACCAGACCUAUCCAGCAACACUUAGACAAGGAGUCACUGUGCAAGCUGUCCCCAGCAUGUGACAUUUAAGCCCAUGCCACUGCUUUUUUCCCUGCUUUACUUUUCCCUUAGGGGAAGUGUCAUUUCCUUAGCCUGCACUAAUAGAUCCUUAUCAAUUAGGUAGCUGUCCAGUUAUUCAUUCUCAUACCUUGCCACCUGCCUCCUUCUCUUGUUUCUCUGUAGCUUCUCACCCCUCGUGUGCUUUCUCACCUCUAGCUGUUUGCAGGUACUGCUUCCAUCUUUCCUGGGUUGCUCUUGUCAUCUCUGUUUACUUCUACCACAGAGCCUAUAGUACUGUCCCAACACAGAUUUUUAAGUUCCUUUUGUGUGUUCCAGUAGUUCCCUGUGUUAUACCUGCAUAGGAUUUGUAACCUGAAUGAAUGUUGCCUGCCCAUCUGAUUUGGGAAGAUUAUAUCAUAUAGUUGCAGAAGAGUAGAGAUCCUGUUGUCUUGACUCUACUGCUUAAUCCUAGUGACAGUACAUGAUUGUUCAAUAGAUACAAAUGGAAAACUGUCUGAUACUUAGCUAUGAUAAUAUCAAAGUCUGAGUGCAACCAUGGGCACAUUACAGCUCUCAUUUUGUAUAGUAAUGGUACAUACAUAAGUUUAUUCUAAAACCCUGGUGAUUCAGUAUUUCUUACCAAUGUCUGCUAGGUUAAUCCAAAAGCCUCUGAGAUCAAGUAUAAUUCUUGCUUCUCUUUAUAGAUUCUGCUUCAGUUGAUCCUCGGUCCUUUGAAGCUUCUCCCCUGUGAUCUACUGUUAUAUAAUUUCAAAUCUAUAUCAAGAAGAAUAAAAACAUUGGAAAAUUUAAAGAAAAAUAUUUUUUAAAGAUAAUUUAUUAACCUGUAUAGUAUUUUAAUAAUUUCCUAUUAUAAUAUACUAAACAAAAGUCAUAAAUUUUAAGCAAUUG